AGUGAACGCUGGCGGCAGGCCUAACACAUGCAAGUCGAACGGCAGCACAGGAGAGCUUGCUCUCUGGGUGGCGAGUGGCGGACGGGUGAGGAAUGCGUCGGAAUCUGCCUAUUUGUGGGGGAUAACGUAGGGAAACUUACGCUAAUACCGCAUACGACCUACGGGUGAAAGUGGGGGACCGCAAGGCCUCACGCAGAUAGAUGAGCCGACGCCGGAUUAGCUAGUUGGCGGGGUAAAGGCCCACCAAGGCGACGAUCCGUAGCUGGUCUGAGAGGAUGAUCAGCCACACUGGAACUGAGACACGGUCCAGACUCCUACGGGAGGCAGCAGUGGGGAAUAUUGGACAAUGGGCGCAAGCCUGAUCCAGCCAUGCCGCGUGUGUGAAGAAGGCCUUCGGGUUGUAAAGCACUUUUGUCCGGAAAGAAAAGCAUUCGGCUAAUAACCGGGUGUUAUGACGGUACCGGAAGAAUAAGCACCGGCUAACUUCGUGCCAGCCGCCGCCGUAAAAC
rnacentral:rRNA from 1 species